GGACACUUCUGUUUUCCCCCUGCCCUUGUCCUCAGCCAUCCUGCAGCGGAGGAUGGAAAAACAGCUUGGUGUGGGCUGGAGAAGUAGAGGGAUGAAGGAGGAAACGUCUGGCCUCCACAUCCCGUGCCCUCUUCCUCAGGACCCCUGGAGGCCUCUGCUCUUACACAAGCUGUGGGGACCCCUGGGAGACACCCUCUCUAUCAGCUGCUCAACUGUGGCCCUGGGAAUAGGUGAGACGUGAGAGGGAGUAGGGAGAGGGAGAAGGAGGCCAGCCAACGUAACCAUCAUAUAAUCUCUGCUUUGUCCACCUAGAAACCCUGUGCUUCACCCAGACAUCGCACAUAUGGAGCGACUCCUGAAGCAGGCUGUGGCUGAGAGGGAACGGCUGCUCAAGGCCAGGGAAGGGAUGAAAAGGAGCCAAGAAAGUUCCACAGACCCUGCAGUUCCCGCCAUCAUGGUUAGUCCCCUCUGUCCUCCCUGGGUGCCUUUGCCUUUUAUUAAAUGCCACUGUCUCCUGCCCUCCGACCAAAAGGGUCCUGAAGUUAAGUCCAGAGGUCCCGUUCCUACUCCUGUUUCACUCCCCCAUGCCCAAGGUCUUUGCUUAGGUUACUGACUGCAUCUCUUUGUUCUUUUUAACUAUUUAUUUACUAUUUCUGUAAGUCGUGUAUAGCUAGGCAGGUGAGCACAUGCCACGGUGCACAUGUGGAGGUCAGAGGACUUGUGGAAGUCAUUUCUCUA
rnacentral:lncRNA from 1 species